GGCAGGAAAAGAAACCAACACAAAGGAACACGGACGACGCGAGGAGAGGGGGCAGGCAUCCUGAGGGUGCGGGGUUUACAAGGAGACUGCACAGGGGAGGUGCUCAAGCGCAGGCGCAGGCGCAGGCGCAACGCGGGUCCCUGGGAAGCCCAGGCCCCCCAGCCCUCUGCCGAGCGCAUCAGCUUCGCAGAAGGGCGGGAGACCACGAGGGACACGCCGGACUCCAGAAAGAAAAAAAGCUGCUACGACUCCCCUGUCUUAAUCCAGCCCAGAUCUCAGUGGAAACCUAACACCACUCUAGUGACCCUGGAACUGCACCAGUGCCUCACAUCACCAAAUAAGCCUGGAUCCCGAAACCCAGCUAGCAAGAAGCUGUUGACUGGGGAGACAGGUCAACUUCCAAGUGUCAUUCAGCCAGGAGUCUUCCCACCUACAGAAACCAGCAACUAAAGGAACUAUUCCACAUUGGACUCCCAUUGCCUCUCUACUUUAUUCAUGUUUAAUGCAAUUUGUGUCUGAUUGAACCCGUACACCUUGUGCCUGCCCUGGAUUCAUCCUUCUCCAGAAGCACUUGCCACUGGGUCAACUCUUCCAGGACUGAUCCUGUUAAAGUGAGUGAGACUUCGUCAGAACGGGGCUUCUCUUGGCCUGUUUCCUGGGGAACAGGAUACAUUGGCUUCAGAGAAUUGACAGUGUGCAAGUGUUGCGAUAAAUGUGGGAGUGGGGUAAAAUAGAUCUUACAGGAAGCUCAAAGAAACUGAGCUACUCUAAGCCAGUCGCAGAGUGGUGUUGCUUCAAAAUUAUAGGGAUUGACUUUCAAAAUUGUUGAAGAGCAAUUGAUUUUUAUUAUGAAUUUUAUUGGAGAGGCGGCAUAAAAAUUUCUAAAAAUUUGCAGAGUUCUUCCCAGAGGAAAACUUCCUAAUGCUCCCUUGAAGCCAUUUUCUCACUGCAGCUGUUCCUAUUCAUUCCAUCCCCCCACCCCAUCCACCAGGCACAGCUCCUUCCCCCUAGUUAUACACUCCCAGUCACCAACUCCUCUGAAGGUCUCAGGCAAUAUGCCCUCCAGGAACCUCUCCACCCAGUUCUUUCACACCUCCUCUCCCAUAAAUAAUAGCCCCUGAGAGGUACAGUCCCUUUCUACUUGGUCUUAUUUGGUUUUGCUAAGAGUAGCCAGUUAGGAAUUCUGGUUCAUCCUAGAAAAAAAUACUUGUUGAUCACCUAUCGUACCCAGCUGUAGAUUCAUUACACAUAGAAAUUAGGUUGGGGUGGAAGGAGACCACUGUGGCUUACCUGGGAUCAAUAUCUGUAUGAGUUUUGUCCAGUAGAAUUUACUGAUAGUUCAAAGGAUAUCACUGUGAAUUGAAUACAUUUCUUGAAAGAGCAUUUAAAAAAAAAGUUAUAAGAAGAAUUUUUUUUUCAUUUUGUUUUGUUUUGGGAGAUUUAAAUUUUA
rnacentral:lncRNA from 1 species